GCACUGCUGAGGAGUCCGACAAUAGGAGGGAACGACCGUCCAGUGC
rnacentral:hammerhead_ribozyme from 1 species